GUGAGUGUAGCCCAGCGGUUAAGGCGCCAGGUUGUGGCCCUGGAGAUCGAGGGUUCAAAUCCCUCCACUCACCCCA
rnacentral:tRNA from 1 species